rnacentral:rRNA from 1 species
UACGAAGGGGGCUAACGUUGCUCGGAAUCACUGGGCGUAAAGGGCGCGUAGGCGGGCUGGCAAGUCGGUCGUGAAAUCCUUCGGCUCAACCGAAGAACGUCGGCCGAUACUGCCGUUCUUGAGGGAUGCAGAGGAGAUUGGAAUUCCCGGUGUAGCGGUGAAAUGUGUAGAGAUCGGGAGGAACACCGGUGGCGAAGGCGGGUCUCUGGGCAUCUCCUGACGCUGAGGCGCGAAAGCGUGGGGAGCAAACGGG